rnacentral:lncRNA from 1 species
CCGGGAGCUGCUUCUCCCCACACUCCGCCCCUGCGCCUCCCCGAGCUUCAGCCUCUCCUGUAAAGAGCAGAGAUGGAGAGGAAGCGACAGUCACAACUUCCGGUUAGCGUGGCGGAGGCUCUCGGAGUCUUUGGGACCUCAGCACCGGGAUACCGGGAGACUCCCUCGUGUCCCCAUGUGGGCCACCUACCAGACAGAAGAGACAGGCUUGGAAUUCAAAACUCUGACAGACUCUCCAUCCCAUGCAAAUUCCAUCUCUUUGUGACUGUGCUCUUCUCUUUGGUUCAUGCCACAUCAUUGCAAAGUUAAAUGAGGUUCUAGGUAGCACAGGGCGUGGAGUUUGCUGAAGGAUCACUCACACAAGCGGCUGCCCGCUGUUCCUGGCUCAGUGCUCACCACUGCACGUCACAAGGAGCGGCACCAUGGCUCCCGUAACAGGAAAACCCUGCAUUUGCUACUCCCGGCUGCACGAGAGUGGAGGGAGGCUUGGACCUUUCCACCACCCCCUUCCCUUUGUUGCCAGCUACUCUUACCCACUAGUCUACUCAAGUCACCUCAGCAGACACCCAAGACCCAAACUGAGAGGCGCUGCUGGUGGUGCGGAGAGCGACACAGUCCAAAAUAAGACGCGGAGCCCGAGCUGUCAGGCUGUGAGUGACAGCCGGGCUCCUAGGGCUGACUGACAAGUUCUCUCCCUUCUUGUGGCAAGCCAUGUGCGAGCCCAUCCGGAGGGACUCUGAGAAGGGCGCUAGACAUCGCGACUCAGGCGUAAGCAUGCGGGGUUAGGAGUAAAGAAAGAAACAAGUGAAACUUCUAUUUCAAUACGAGUGUAACAUGGAGGGUGAUAGUAGAGAAACUCUGUGGUCGCCACCACUAACACAUCCUCCUUUUGUUGUGAAACCACAACUUUGCACGCCUCAGUUCCAGCGCACCGCCCACACCAGCGAAAGGAUUAUACCUUAACCAUGUAUUUUCAACAAUAUUGGAGAGAUAAAAGGCUCGCCUAUUCUGGGAUCCCUCUCAACCUCACGCUUGACAAUCGAGUGGCUGACCAGCUAUGGGUGCCCGACACAUAUUUCUUAAAUGACAAAAAGUCAUUUGUGCAUGGAGUGACAGUGAAAAACCGCAUGAUCCGUCUUCACCCUGAUGGGACAGUGCUGUAUGGGCUCAGGUACUAUGGCCCUGGCCUGGAGGAGGUCUGGCACAGCUGAGAACACUGAAGUUAAAUUCCCCAUGGUGGAAGGUUUGCAGAGAGCUGGGGUUGUUCCUGCUGUUCCUGCUUGUAAAGUACUGCUGAGGAAGGUCCUGCCCAGCAGAGAUUGCUUUCCUACUGAUUAUGUGCUUGAAAUACUGGUUGGACUGGCUGUAUCACUGAGACCUUCAGACUGAAUUUCUCUCACCCCUGGACACUGAGAUUGGCUCUCACCUUGUCUAUCCAGCAGUAGCCUACACUGGUAGCUUGAGCUCAGCUGAAUAUGACGGUGAACUGAGAUCCCUGCACCAGCUUGUCAGCAUGUGAUGGGAGAGAAUGCUCUGGACAGGGUAUGCAUGCCAUCCUAAAAUAAAACAUAAAUCCUUGACAA